rnacentral:rRNA from 1 species
UGAGGAAUAUUGGUCAAUGGGCGGAAGCCUGAACCAGCCAUGCCGCGUGCGGGAAGGAGGCCCUAUGGGCUGUGAACCGCUUUUGCCUGGGGCAAUAAGGCGUCGCGCACGUCCGAUGAGAGUACCAGGCGAAUAAGCAUCGGCUAACUCCGUGCCAGCAGCCGCGGUAAUACGGGGAUGCGAGCGUUAUCCGGAUUCAUUGGGUUUAAAGGGUGCGUAGGCGGCUUGGUAAGUCAGCGGUGAAUUCCAGUGCUCAACAUUGGCCGUGCCGUUGAUACUGCUGGGCUUGAAUGCGGAUGCCGUGGGA